GCUUGUCUCAAAGAUUAAGCCAUGCAUGUCUAAGUGUAAAUAAGUCUAUACUGUGAAACUGCGAAUGGCUCAUUAAAUCAGUUAUCGUUUAUUUGAUGAUCUCUUACUACUUGGAUAACCGUAGUAAUUCUAGAGCUAAUACAUGCUAUAUGCCCGGCUUCUGGCAGGGCUGUAUUUAUUAGAUACUAAACCAGUGUCGCAAGACAUUGUGGUGAAUCACAGUAACUGAUCGAAUCGGCGCGCAAGCGGCGAUAAAUCAUUCAAGUUUCUGCCCUAUCAGCUUUCGAUGGUAGUGUAUUGGACUACCAUGGCAGUCACGGGUAACGGAGAAUUAGGGUUCGGUUCCGGAGAGGGAGCCUGAGAAACGGCUACCACAUCUAAGGAAGGCAGCAGG
rnacentral:rRNA from 1 species